UUUUUUUUUUUUUUUUAAGAGAAAUAACUGCAAUACCUCUGCAACGUUUGGGAUUUUUAGCUAUAGGAAAUUCUCGUGUUUCCUACACCACCGUCUGUGCAGAAAGCACUGUACACCUGAACAUGGAUUCGUAGGAACAGAAGAAAUUUAACAUGCCGUGAAGACCCGCUACUACUGUGACAGCUGCCCCCACCCCGUGUCCUCACAGACACGCCCAAACACCGCUUGGAAUUCCACCUCCAGACCCCCAGGGAAGGCGGGGGCACACUGGCCUAAAUGAGUCUUUCAGAGUCCUCUGCCAGAAUACUAAGCAAGGAAUGAACAUCCUCACAUCUGACAGGGCAGUCAGGAUGAACAGUGGCAAAUGCUGACGUGUUAGCAACUGGCUCUGGUGACACACAUGGGCAGCAAAUUGUAGCGGACACUCUUGGUACGGAGCCAAAACGUCAUGGUCUUUGUCCAUCACUGAGACUGUCACAAAAUGGAGGCUGAACAUUUCCUCUGGAACCCGUCCUGUGGAUGCCCUCCUGCACCUGUGGGUGAAGCUCGCCGCUUUUCCAGCAUGUACCUCUCCUAACACUCUGCCUAAAAGAGAUGGUGCAGACGGGACCCAUCUUCCAUCAUCGCACUCACUAGCUGGGGAAGCAAGAGGAACAAGAAUCGCAGCUCAGAUCCGGCAGAAGACCUGGCAUGAGAGAUGUUGAAAGACCCGUUUUGUUUUCUCAAACUUUCUUCUACCUGGAAGAUUUUAAUGCAGAUGCUAAAGUCCAGGAGCCACAAGCUCUGGUGAAGUCAAACGUGCAAAUGAAUGACCAUACCCAGUAUCAGUAAGGUGCCGUGGGAAGUGGAGAAAACAGUCCCGUCUCACCCUCUCCACCAAUCGAUUACAGGCCUUCUGAAAUCCUAGGCAGACAGCAUUUUUAUUUUCCACCCGCUAAUUAUGUUUCUGGAAGGCUGCACUCUUAGCAGUGUUUAUAGGCACAUAAACCUUCGUUUGGAAACCAUCUUUUAAAAAUCAAGUGACUCGGGGACCAAAUACCCUGAAUUCCAUCCAAGGGCUUCAGUCUUGAGUGUGGCCUGUGCCUCUGUCUGAACCUGGGCUUGCCAGUUUCUGAGGGGCCGGGACCUCCCCAAAACAUCCCAUGCCUGCAGCAUCACAGAAGGCUUCGUGCUGUCUGAGGGGCAGGGUGGAGAUUCCCCCCACGACCUCAGAACCAGUUGGCCCAGGACACCAACACUAGAAACCGAGCCACGCUUUUACGAGUUUGGCAUUACAUAGGGAUUCUUUCCGCUCUCCUCUCCUAUUCUGUGUGUUUGGUGAGGAGAAGACGUUGGUAGGGAAGACAGAAAUGAAAAAGGAAUUCUGAAGUUCGGCCUCAUCCCUCUUUUAAAAACAGCUCAAGGAGCACCUCUGAGGCUGUCUUCUUUCUCCAGGGUGUCUGGGUCAUUUUCCUGUCUCAGUCCUCCAGGUAACUCAGUUCUCCCAUGAAGGAGCCCCUGAGGGGAAGCCUCCCCACCUCGGACAGGGCAGGGACGCCUUCCCAAGGCCCUGGGUGGCCGCGACUCUCCCCAUAAGGCCACCCCAACACCCCAGCCCUCCCCUUCUGUGCACCCCACCCUCAGCGAACAGAGGAAGUGCCCACCAGCUUCUCUGGGGACAGCAUUUCUGUCCUCCGCUUAUUAGUGAAUGUACUUGGGGAACAGCAGGCCUUAGCUCAGACAGCCUCACAGGAGAGCUGGCCAGAAGCCAUACUUAGACGACUCCUCACACCCUUUUGGGGAACAAGGCAGAAUAAAUAAGUAAUAAAAAAAAGAAGCUAGAUACACGUCCCUUUCUGACACAGGAGUUAAUAACACAAAUGAAGUGCCCCUUCCACCUGGGUUAUAGAUCUUCAAAUUCAAGAUGGUUCCUGUACCCUGCACCGCCCUUCAGCCACUCCAAUUAAUCAAUUCACGGCUUUCCAGCGCUCCAGUUCCUCAUGUUUUCAAGUCAGGCCACCUCCCUUCCCCCAAUCUUUUUUUCAUCAUCUGUUUCCCUGGGAAGUGCUCCAAAGCACUUCCUGUUUCUUGAUCAGGGUGGCCACAGAUUUUCUAGAAAGUUCUGUGGCUGGUGAGGAAAGAACAUGGCUAUCAGAGGAAAAUGCAGAGCUCCUAGGCAGGCCAGCAAUGAAGGCGGCUCUACAGCCGAAAUGGCCAAGUCAGGUUUUUCAAUGCAAAAUGGUAGUUACUGGAAGUCAGGUAGCUACACAUGCUAAAGAGCUCAAGUGUUCCCACUUCUUGUUUGUUUGCUUUAAAUGCUUCUGGCUGGGCAUGGUGGCUCACACCUGUAAUCCCAGCACUUUGGGAGGCCGAGGCAGGCAGAUGACUUGAGGUCAGGAGUUCAAGACCAGCCC
rnacentral:lncRNA from 1 species